rnacentral:rRNA from 1 species
CUUAAAGGAAUUGACGGGGGCCCGCACAAGCGGCGGAGCAUGUGGAUUAAUUCGAUGCAACGCGAAGAACCUUACCAAGGCUUGACAUACACCGGAAACAUUCAGAGAUGGGUGCCCCGUAAGGUCGGUGUACAGGUGGUGCAUGGUUGUCGUCAGCUCGUGUCGUGGGAUGUUGGGUUAAGUCCCGCAACGAGCGCAACCCUCGUUCCAUGUUGCCAGCAACACUUUUAGUGGUUGGGGACUCAUGGGAGACUGCCGGGGUCAACUCGGAGGAAGGUGGGGAUGACGUCAAAUCAUCAUGCCCCUUAUGUCUUGGGCUUCACACAUGCUACAAUGGCCGGUACAAAGGGCUGCGAUACCGCGAGGUGGAGCGAAUCCCAAAAAACCGGUCUCAGUUCGGAUUGGGGUCUGCAACUCGACCCCAUGAAGUCGGAGUCGCUAGUAAUCGCAGAUCAGCAACGCUGCGGUGAAUACGUUCCCGGGCCUUGUACACACCGCCCGUCAAGUCA